GCGCACGUGGCGAAAUUGGUAGACGCACUGUCUUCAGGUGGCAGCGCCUUCGGGUGUGAAGGUUCGAAUCCUUUCGUGCGCA
rnacentral:tRNA from 3 species